rnacentral:rRNA from 1 species
UGGAGGCAGCAGUGAGGAAUUUUGCGCAAUGGGAGCAAUCCUGACGCAGCAACGCCGCGUGAGUGAAGAAGGCCUUCGGGUCGUAAAGCUCUGUCAGGUGGGAAGAAGUGGAUGGGAUCGAAUAGGUCUUGUCUUUGACGGUACCACCAGAGGAAGCACCGGCUAACUCCGUGCCAGCAGCCGCGGUAAUACGGAGGGUGCAAGCGUUAUUCGGAAUUACUGGGCGUAAAGCGCGUGCAGGCGGGAAGGUAAGUCUGAUGUGAAAGCCCCGGGCUUAACCUGGGAAGUGCAUCGGAAACUGCUUUUCUUGAGUACUGGAGAGGAAGGGAGAAUUCCCGGUGUAGAGGUGAAAUUCGUAGAGAUCGGGAGGAACACCAGUGGCGAAGGCGCCCUUCUGGACAGUUACUGACGCUGAGACGCGAAAGCGUGGGGAGCAAACAGGAUUAGAUACCCGAGUAGUCG